GAUGAACGCUGGCGGCGUGCCUAAUACAUGCAAGUCGAGCGAACGGACGAGAAGCUUGCUUCUCUGAUGUUAGCGGCGGACGGGUGAGUAACACGUGGAUAACCUACCUAUAAGACUGGGAUAACUUCGGGAAACCGUAGCUAAUACCGGAUAAUAUUUUGAACCGCAUGGUUCAAAAGUGAAAGACGGUCUUGCUGUCACUUAUAGAUGGAUCCGCGCUGCAUUAGCUAGUUGGUAAGGUAACGGCUUACCAAGGCAACGAUGCAUAGCCGACCUGAGAGGGUGAUCGGCCACACUGGAACUGAGACACGGUCCAGACUCCUACGGGAGGCAGCAGUAGGGAAUCUUCCGCAAUGGGCGAAAGCCUGACGGAGCAACGCCGCGUGAGUGAUGAAGGUCUUCGGAUCGUAAAACUCUGUUAUUAGGGAAGAACAUAUGUGUAAGUAACUGUGCACAUCUUGACGGUACCUAAUCAGAAAACCACGGCUAACUACGUG
rnacentral:rRNA from 1 species